AUUGAACGCUGGCGGCAUGCCUUACACAUGCAAGUCGAACGGCAGCAUAGGAGCUUGCUCCUGAUGGCGAGUGGCGAACGGGUGAGUAAUAUAUCGGAACGUGCCCUAGAGUGGGGGAUAACUAGUCGAAAGACUAGCUAAUACCGCAUACGAUCUACGGAUGAAAGUGGGGGAUCGCGAGACCUCAUGCUCCUGGAGCGGCCGAUAUCUUAUUAGCUAGUUGGUGGGGUAAAAGCCCACCAAGGCGACGAUCAGUAGCUGGUCUGAGAGGACAACCGGCCACACUGGGACUGAGACACGGCCCAGACUCCUACGGGAGGAAGAAGUGGGGUAUUUUGGACAAUGGGGGGAACCCUGAUCCAGCAAUGCCGCGUGAGUGAAGAAGGCCGUCGGGUUGUAAAGCUCUUUUGUCAGGGAAGAAACGGUUCUGGAUAAUACCUGGGACUAAUGACGGUACCUGAAGAAUAAGCACCGGCUAACUACGUGCCAGCCGCCGCCGUAA
rnacentral:rRNA from 1 species